AAACCAUGCAUUGGACAUUUACUCAGUAGCUCAUUGAAACGCUCCCAUGCUUUAUAUAAUGUUUCAUCCUCUGCUUGUCUAAACGAUGUAAUGUUGUUCCUCAACUU
rnacentral:snoRNA from 1 species